rnacentral:rRNA from 1 species
GACGAACCGUGCGAACGUUAUUCGGAAUCACUGGGCUUAAAGCGCGUGUAGGCGGGACGGCACGUCGGUCGCUGAAAUCCCCCGGCUCAACCGGGGAACGGGCGCCGAUACGACCGCCCUGGAGGGACGUAGGGGGACCUGGAACUUCCGGUGGAGCGGUGAAAUGCGUAGAGAUCCGGAGGAACACCGACGGCGAAGGCAGCGCCCUGGCCGCCAUCUGACGCUCAGGCACGAAAGCUGGGGGAGCGAACAGG